CCUACGGGAGACUGCAGUGAGGAAUAUUGGUCAAUGGACGAGAGUCUGAACCAGCCAAGUAGCGUGAAGGAUGACUGCCCUAUGGGUUGUAAACUUCUUUUAUAUGGGAAUAAAAUGUUCCACGUGUGGGAUUUUGUAUGUACCAUAUGAAUAAGGAUCGGCUAACUCCGUGCCAGCAGCCGCGGUAAUACGGAGGAUCCGAGCGUUAUCCGGAUUUAUUGGGUUUAAAGGGAGCGUAGGUGGAUUGUUAAGUCAGUUGUGAAAGUUUGCGGCUCAACCGUGAAAUUGCAGUUGAAACUGGCGGUCUUGAGUACAGUAGAGGUAGGCGGAAUGCGUGGUGUAGCGGUGAAAUGCUUAGAGAUCACGAAGAACUCCGAUUGCGAAGGCAGCUCACUGGACUGCAACUGACACUGAGGCUCGAAAGUGUGGGGAGCAAAUAGGAUUAGAUACCCCUGUAGUC
rnacentral:rRNA from 1 species